rnacentral:rRNA from 1 species
UGAACGCUAGCGACAGGCUAACACAUGCAAGUCAGGGGCAGCACAAGGAGCAAUCUGAGGUGGCGACCGGCGCACGGGUGAGUAACACGUAUGCAACCUGCCUGUAAGCGGGGAAUAACCCGUUGAAAGACGGACUAAUACCGCAUAAUACUAAAUUACUGCAUGGUAAUUUAUUUAAACAUUUAUGGCUUACAGAUGGGCAUGCGCAUGAUUAGCUAGUUGGAGAGGUAACGGCUCCCCAAGGCAACGAUCAUUAGGGGUUCUGAGAGGAAGGUCCCCCACACUGGUACUGAGACACGGACCAGACUCCUACGGGAGGCAGCAGUGAGGAAUAUUGGUCAAUGGACGAGAGUCUGAACCAGCCAAGUCGCGUGCAGGAAGAAUGUCCUAUGGAUUGUAAACUGCUUUUGCAGGGGAAUAAAGUGCAUCACGUGUGAUGUUUUGUAUGUACUCUGCGAAUAAGGAUCGGCUAACUCCGUGCCAGCAGCAGC